AGCGAACGCUGGCGGCAGGCCUAACACAUGCAAGUCGAACGAACUCAUCGGAGCUAGUGGCGGACGGGUGAGUAACACGUGGGAACGUGCCCUUCGGUUCGGCAUAACUCAGGGCAACUUGUGCUAAUACCGCAUGUGCCCUUCGAGGGAAAGAUUCAUCGCCUUUAGAGCGGCCCGCGUCUGAUUAGCAAGUUGGUGAAGUAAAAGCUCACCAAGGCGACGAUCAGUAGCUGGUCUAAGAGGAUGACCAGCCACAUUGGGACUGAGACACGGCCCAAACUCCUACGGGAGGCAGCAGUGGGGAAUCGUGCUCAAUGGGCGAAAGCCUGACGCAGCCAUGCCGCGUGGAUGAUGAAGGUCUUAGGAUUGUAAAAUCCUUUCACCGGUGAAGAUAAUGACUGUAGCCGGAGAAGAAGCCCCGGCUAACUUCGUGCCAGCAGCCGCGGUAACAC
rnacentral:rRNA from 1 species